rnacentral:rRNA from 1 species
UACGAAGGGGCUAGCGUUGCUCGGAAUUACUGGGCGUAAAGCGCACGUAGGCGGUCUUCUAAGUCGGGGGUGAAAUCCUGGAGCUCAACUCCAGAACUGCCUUCGAUACUGGAAGCUACGAGUCCGGGAGAGGGUGAGUGGAACUGCGAGUGUAGAGGUGAAAUUCGUAGAUAUUCGCAAGAACACCAGUGGCGAAGGCGGCGUC